UUAGUGCAGCUGAAUGGAUCCGUGUGUGUGUGUGUGUGUGUGUGUGUGUGUGUGUGUGUGUGUGUGUGUGUGUGUGUGACAGACUCCUCUCAGUUCUCAUGCUGGCAAAUGAAAUGAACUGUAAUGAUCCUCAGGACACACACACAUACACACGCACACACACACACACACACACACACACACACACACACAGGGAACGGCUUUCACUAAUGUGCUGAACUCUGACGAGAACAUUCAACACAUCAAAGUCUUAUUAACACACUACAUGAAUGAUUUUCUAAACUAGUUUUGUUUUGGUGUUGUAGUCAAAUAUCUAAACAUUCUUCAUUCAGAGGCUGUCGAUGACAUCAUCCUGCAGUCUGAGCGCGUGCAGAAGAAGCCCCUCCCACCGCGCGGCUGAUAAAAUACAGUAUCUUCGUCCGUCGGGAUGCAAACAGCCGCUGUGCAGAUGUUCAGACACCUGAGCGCUCAUCUGAAAAUCCUGCUAUUAACCCCUUCAACCCUCACCCCGCUCCAGCAGCGUCCGUCAAGGAUACACGUGUGAACAC
ensembl:lncRNA